rnacentral:rRNA from 1 species
UUUUAUGAGAGUUUGAUCCUGGCUCAGGACGAACGCUGGCGGCGUGCCUAAUACAUGCAAGUCGAACGCUUCUUUUUCCACCGGAGCUUGCUCCACCGGAAAAAGAAGAGUGGCGAACGGGUGAGUAACACGUGGGUAACCUGCCCAUCAGAAGGGGAUAACACUUGGAAACAGGUGCUAAUACCGUAUAACAAUCAAAACCGCAUGGUUUUGAUUUGAAAGGCGCUUUCGGAUGUCGCUGAUGGAUGGACCCGCGGUGCAUUAGCUAGUUGGUGAGGUAACGGCUCACCAAGGCCACGAUGCAUAGCCGACCUGAGAGGGUGAUCGGCCACAUUGGGACUGAGACACGGCCCAAACUCCUACGGGAGGCAGCAGUAGGGAAUCUUCGGCAAUGGACGAAAGUCUGACCGAGCAACGCCGCGUGAGUGAAGAAGGUUUUCGGAUCGUAAAACUCUGUUGUUAGAGAAGAACAAGGAUGAGAGUAACUGUUCAUCCCUUGACGG